rnacentral:rRNA from 1 species
GUGGGGAAUCUUGCGCAAUGGGCGAAAGCCUGACGCAGCCAUGCCGCGUGAAUGAUGAAGGUCUUAGGAUUGUAAAAUUCUUUCACCGGGGAAGAUAAUGACGGUACCCGGAGAAGAAGCCCCGGCUAACUUCGUGCCAGCAGCCGCGGUAAUACGAAGGGGGCUAGCGUUGCUCGGAUUUACUGGGCGUAAAGGGCGCGUAGGCGGACAGUUUAGUCAGAGGUGAAAGCCCGGGGCUCAACCCCGGAAUUGCCUUUGAUACUGGCUGUCUUGAGUUUGGGAGAGGUAUGCGGAACUCCGAGUGUAGAGGUGAAAUUCGUAGAUAUUCGGAAGAACACCAGUGGCGAAGGCGGCAUACUGGCCCAAUACUGACGCUGAGGCGCGAAAGCGUGGGGAGCAAACAGGAUUAGAUACCCUGGUAGUCC